AGGCUACUAGGAAACAGCCCUUAAUCCGAAGUGGAAUCUAACAUCUGGGAAAUCAGCCGUAUUUGCCUGUGAGAAAGAAAGGGAGAAGCCAUAUUUACAUCAGCCCAUGGUCCAAGGAAUUCGACAGCGAAGACCCAAGAUACUUCCAAGAGAAAGGCACGGUCCAUUGAAGAUUCUUUACAACCUCGGAAAGGGGAAACUGCUUUCACUGGGCUCUCAUUGUCUUCUGCCUGCCACCGUGUAAGAUGUGCCUUUCUCCUUCCACCAUGACUGUGAGGCCUCCUCAGCCAUGUGGAACUGUGAG
rnacentral:lncRNA from 1 species